GAUCCUGUUCCACAAGGUAGUCAUGGAACAAAGAGAAACUACUGCUGGCCCAAGCAGGACGAAGAAAAGGUGGUGGAGUAUUUCACAGGAAUAAUAACUGGAAAGUCCAAGCAGACGAUACCAAAGAAACUUGAAGUUCUGGAUUUCCUUAAUUCAUGCAAAAUGCAAACUGUUACAAAUGGACAGACAUAAGAACUAAGGUGAUGAACGAG